AGGACAUUGCACAAGCCACCAGGUCUGAAUUAGUGUGCUCCCAGGGCAGCUGGAGAAAGACACUGCAACAAGCACCCUCAUCCCUCAUGUUGGAACUUCUGCUUUCUCUAAGCAUGCUGAAGAGAAGUUGCUGCUUUUGAAUUGUCCACUUGUGCCACUCAGCACUAAAACACAUGUGAAAUCUGGCCAAGGAUUGCCAAGGACCACAGGACCAUAUAUUUGGCAUGUACCUGUGAAUAAUAAAGGCAAGGAGGAGAAAGACUCCAAGAAGCAAGAGAGGAAGAGCUGAAGAAAAGUAGAUAAUAAUGACAUGACAGAGAGAAAGAAAUAAUGGAGGUAGUGAGUAACAUGCUGAAAGGAAGAACAAGAAGAUAUAUUAAAAAAUUACGACUUACCCUGCACGGAAAAAAGGAGGUCUAUACAACUUGGCACUGAUAACAAUAACUGCUCUUCUGUCUCAUGCUUUCAGAAAACAGCAAAGCACACUGACUUGCCACAUAAACUCUUCUGGGCCUUAUUUUUGACAGCCAGUUUUAACAGGUGUCCAGACUGAGCCACAUAUCUGUCAACUGUGAUGCCAGACUAGGUGGAAUAUAUGGUAUAAGGAGUUAGCAGUAAGCUUGCAAAACAUCGAAGACAGCAUGGAACAGCAAGGAAACUGGUGCCUGGACAACUGUCAAAAUCAAACUGCUUCAACCUUGUGAUUGUCCAGGAAAAAAGGCUUCAAAUCUCUCCGCAAUGAUCACGAAGCCACUCCCAGCUCACAGUCCUCUCAGCCGUGGCACAUUCCUUUAUGGCACUUCCCACAAUAAAUUCACAGAUGUCACAAAACUAGGGGUGGUGGCUGAUUCACCAGGGGGCCAUGCUGCCAUCCAGAGGAUCCUUAACAGGCUGAAGAGGUGGACUGGCAGCAAUCUCACGAAGUUAAGCAAGAAGUACAGAGUCCUGCACCUGGGGAUGAACAACUGGAGAAUAGGCGACUUAGGGAGAUCCCAUCAGUGUCUAGGACAAGAGGCAGUGGGCACAAACUGGAACACAGCAAGUUCCCUCUUGAGCACCAGGAGCACCCACAGUGUGGGUGAUGAAUCACAGGCAGCCUGGAGGCUGUGGGGUGCCCUGGUUGGAAAUAUUGAAAAGCUGCCUGGACAUGGUGCUGGGCACCCUGCUCUGGGUGUCCCUGCUGGAGUGGGGCUGGGCUGAGUGGAAUCAGAAGUCCCUCCCCCCAAAUAUGCUUUGAUUCUGUGACUAGAAAUCAUUGUCCUGGGGCACAGGGUAGGAUGCAGUGUGGGAAAGUUGUCCCCAAGGGACAAGGAGAUCCAUCUUUGGUAGAGGCAAGCAAGAGGAGAGUGGGAAGACUCAAACCAAAGGAGUUCAGGAACAACUUUUGAUGACUGUCACUAACAGUCUCCUUCCAGGCUUGUGUUUUCUCUCUCUCCCUUAUCACCUCCUAUGCAAUGACCUCCCUUCUUAAUGCAGGCUGCCUAUUUCAGAGACUUGAGUAAUUUUGCCCUCACUUGACCUCAGGACAGAAAAGUAGCCCAUGGCCCCAUUAAUUUUCUAACACAGAAGAUGCUGAUGAAACUGAAGUGGAAAUGUCUAUUCCUUUAUGCUCCCCCCACCAUCAUUUUUACUUGUCUUCAUCUCCACAUCUGGAAAAGGUGAUAGUGGCUGUGUUAGUAAAAUUUUUGGAAAGUGGUGGUGCAGUGCUAAUUUGGCAAAUUUUUGGAAAGCCUCAUUGCAAAGUCUCUGCUGCCUCUUUCACCGUCUUGCUGUGGCUGGAUAAGGGCACAUGCACAUAAACUGAAACCUAGGGUGAGGUUUAAGCUAGGAUUCAGUGAUGAUGUCAGGGGAUAAAUCAGAGUCUUAGACUUGAAGGCACUGAUUUUUAUGAGAGCUUUUCUGGCAAAAUUUAAUCUCAGCACCCUUUCUGAUACCUUCUGGUAGAGAUAUAACAGAGAUCACUGAGUAUUAUUGAGUCUGUUAUAUGUAUAUUAAAUUUCAUGUUUAGUUUAUCCAUGGUCUUCCUCUGUUUCCUGUUUCCUAAGAGGUUUCUGCCAUAUGGUCUUAGAGAAGGAUGAGACCCUUCAUCAUGGCACUCAGCUUUUGUCAUGCCUUCUCUCCAGCCGCAACAUUUGUGAUCAUGCACAACAUUAAACCUCAUUAGUGGAAUCCAUUGCCAUGUAAGUGUGUCAAGAUUUGGUAACAUCAUGGCUCUCUUCAUAACCUAAUUCAGACUAGCUACACUUGCUUAUAAAGCAGGGAAUGAAGAUGGCUAAAAAAGAAUGUUAAAAAGGAUUGGAAAGUGGAACCGUGCUAUAAAUGGCUGUGGACCAAUAAUAUUGAGACUCAUUUCACCUGCUGCCAUAGUAAGCUU